rnacentral:tRNA from 1 species
AAGGGCUUAGCUUAAGGAAAGCGGUUGGCUUGCAUUCAACAGAUGUAAGAUAGAGUCUUGCAGUCCUUA